GUCCAGAAAAGGCAGCACAGGCUGAAGGCACAGUCCAGGCCACGGCCCUCGCAAAGGGAAAGCUUGGCUGAAGUGAUUGGCUGAGUUUUAAGCACAUCUCUUCAUACACCUCUUUGUUUCUAUUCCUAGAAAAUAUUUGAGAAGGAAAUGAGUGCACAAUUAGAGAACCAUAUCACACAGGACAUGUGGGGAACUAAGACUGAUGAGGAAAGUGAAACCAGAGAAGGAAGGAAAC
rnacentral:lncRNA from 1 species